rnacentral:rRNA from 1 species
GAGUUUGAUCCUGGCUCAGGAUGAACGCUGGCGGCGUGCUUAACACAUGCAAGUCGAACGAGCGAGAGGAGGUUUACUUUCUCAAGCGAGUGGCGAACGGGUGAGUAACGCGUGAGGAACCUGCCUCAAAGAGGGGGACAACAGUUGGAAACGACUGCUAAUACCGCAUAAGCGCACAGCAUCGCAUGAUGCAGUGUGAAAGACUCCGGUGGUAUAAGAUGGACCCGCGUUGGAUUAGCUAGUUGGUGAGGUAACGGCCCACCAAGGCGACGAUCAGUAGCCGACCUGAGAGGGUGAACGGCCACAUUGGGACUGAGACACGGCCCAGACUCCUACGGGAGGCAGCAGUGGGGAAUAUUGCACAAUGGGGGAAACCCUGAUGCAGCGACGCCGCGUGAAGGAAGAAGUAUCUCGGUAUGUAAACUUCUAUCAGCAGGGAAGAAAAUGACGGUACCUGACUAAGAAGCCCCGGCUAACUACGUGCCAGCCGCCGCGGUAAUUC